rnacentral:rRNA from 1 species
GACAGAGGGUGCAAACGUUGUUCGGAAUUACUGGGCGUAAAGCGCGUGUAGGCUGCUUCGCAAGUCGGAUGUGAAAGCCCUGGGCUCAGCCCAGGAAGUGCAUUCGAAACUGCAGAGCUGGAGUCCUGGAGAGGAAGGCGGAAUUCUCGGUGUAGAGGUGAAAUUCGUAGAUAUCGAGAGGAACACCGGUGGCGAAGGCGGCCUUCUGGACAGUGACUGACGCUGAGACGCGAAAGCGUGGGGAGCAAACAGG